rnacentral:rRNA from 1 species
AGCCAGUUGGCAGGGUAACGGCCUACCAAAGCAACGAUCUGUAGCCGGCCUGAGAGGGCGGACGGCCACAUUGGGACUGAGACACGGCCCAAACUCCUACGGGAGGCAGCAGUGGGGGAUAUUGCACAAUGGGGGAAACCCUGAUGCAGCGACGCCGCGUGAGUGAAGAAGUAUUUCGGUAUGUAAAGCUCUAUCAGCAGGGGAAGAAAGACCCCGCAAGGGGGGAUGACGGUACCUGAGUAAGAAGCCCCGGCUAACUACGUGCCAGCAGCCGCGGUAAUACGUAGGGGGCAAGCGUUAUCCGGAUUUACUGGGUGUAAAGGGAGCGCAGACGGUUAUGCAAGUCUGGAGUGAAACCCCACAGCUCAACUGUGGGCUUGCUUUGGAAACUGUGUAACUAGAGUACUGGAGAGGUAAGCGGAAUUCCUAGUGUAGCGGUGAAAUUCGUAGAUAUUAGGAGGAACACCGGUGGCGAAGGCGGCUUACUGGACAGCAACUGACGUUGAGGCUCGAAGGCGUGGGGAGC